rnacentral:rRNA from 1 species
AUUGAACGCUGGCGGCAUGCCUUACACAUGCAAGUCGAACGGCAGCGGGGUAGUUCUUGCACUACUGCCGGCGAGCGGCGAACGGGUGAGUAAUAUAUCGGAACGUACCGAGUAAUGGGGGAUAACCAAUCGAAAGAUUGGCUAAUACCGCAUACGUCCUGCGGGAGAAAGUGGGUUAUCGCAAUACCUCUCGUUAUUCGAUCGUCCGAUAACUGAUUAGCUAGUUGGUGGGGUAAAGGCCUACCAAGUCGACGAUCAGUAGCGGGUCUGAGAGGACGAUCCGCCACACUGGGACUGAGACACGGCCCAGACUCCUACGGGAGGCAGCAGUGGGGAAUUUUGGACAAUAGGGGCGACCCUGAUCCAGCCAUGCCGCGUGUAUGAAGAAGGCCUUCGGGUUGUAAAGUACUUUUGUUAGGGAAGAAAAGGGAAGUGCUAAUACCACUUUUUGCUGACGGUACCUAAAGAAUAAGCACCGGCUAACUACGUG